rnacentral:rRNA from 1 species
UACAGAGGUCCCAAGCGUUGUUCGGAUUCACUGGGCGUAAAGGGUGCGUAGGCGGUUCGUCACGUCGGGAGUGAAAACUCGGAGCUCAACUCCGAGCCUGCUUCCGAUACGGGCAGACUAGAGGUAGGCAGGGGAGAGCGGAACUCCUGGUGUAGCGGUGGAAUGCGCAGAUAUCAGGAGGAACGACCGGUGGCGAAGGCGGGUCUCUGGGCCGAUACUGACGCUGGAGGAGCGAAAGCGUGGGGAGCGAACAGGA